rnacentral:lncRNA from 1 species
CAAGUUGACAAUCUUCAAAGAAAACUUGAAAAUGGGAAAUGGUUUGAAAUUUUCAGAUUAAAAGUUGGAUUUACAUGUGUUUUUUGAAGCUUAAACUGCGAGGAAAGAUAUCACAUUUGUUAGGGGGAUGAGGAAAGUAAUUAAAUGAUGUUUGUCGCGUUUUCCGGGCGAAAUUUCAGGUGGACAAAUUAAAUCAAUGGCUGGCUUGCUGUACCUUGACGUUGCCAAUAUAAAUGCUAACAGAUGCCUUAAUUUAAUUAAUAUAGGUAGGUUGAACUGUAAAAUGACCCAUUUAACUUCCAUAUAUGUAUUUAUUAAAUAGUUUAUUUAAUAGCAAUUGUCUGUUAAGCUAAUAUAUUUAAUUGAAAUUCAAAAUAUGUAGUCUGUCUCAAAACGUAAUGUUUCAUUUAGAGUGAUACAGGCCUUUUCACAACAUUCUAUAGUUAUUUAUAAAGAUGAUUACCACCAAAGUUGGUAUCAAACAACCAAGAUAUCAGAUUCGCAAUUUUGAUGAUUUCUAUAUAUUUACUAUAUACAAUUUUUGAAAUCUGGGUCCGACGGUUGGUCGUGCAAUUUCCAAACUUUCCAGUCAGGAUUGACCAAUGAUCAGUAUUGGCCAAUUUUUGCAUUAUCACUACACAAGUGGAAUCAGUAGAAUUUAAGAAUUAUCUGUAUUUCCGAUUGUGUAAAAUAAGUACUUUCAUAUAAGGGGGGGGGGGGGGNNNNNNNNNNNNNNNNNNNNGGGGGGGGGGGGGGGGGGAUAGGGGUAUACAAAUCUGCCGAUCCGCCCAAAUUUGAAGCAAAAUCUGUGAUCCGACAAUGGUCUUGUCUAAAUUUGGAUCCGCUAAAAGCUCUACUAUGAAGUCACAAUCCAGGAUUCGAUAAAUCCGCAAUUUGCUGUAUUAAUAAGAUCCGUGUAAAAUACUUGCCAGAUCCAAAAUCCGAACAAUCUGACUAUCUGAAAACCUAUUCACCCCCCUAUUUAUGGCCAUCUGGUCAAGGUCACACAAUAAUGAAAGAUCAUAACAGUGAGAAAACACAAGCUCAAGGCCAUGUGCUCCACAACACAUUUCAGAUCUUAAGCGAGGGCAACAGGAUUUAUGGAUUAGAAAUUUUAAUUGAAAUGAUCAUGCUCAAUUUAGUUUAGAUGGUUAGCUAAAAAAUUAUAACAUUUAGAUUUUUGUAUGAGGCUCAUGGGUAAAACUAGUUCAGAAAAUUAUAUGCCAACAUUGAUGGAGUGUGCAGCAUACAACCUUGUAUGGUAUUUCCAAAGCUUUUUUAAAUUAACCCCCACUUCCCAUGGGCUUUAAAAAUCCUGAGUAACAGCAUGUUUCUACCAAAAACUACUUCAAAAUCCCAUACAUAGCUAUAUAAUAUUAUGUAAAUAUAUUAUUUGUCUUGUAUUUGUUGGAAUUGAUCACUAUAUAUAUGGAACAGAUUUUGAAUCCAUCAAAUUCAUCAAAUUAUGUGUUAUAAUAUAGAUUUUGCAUUUGGUGAUAAAAGCAUCAAAUUAUAUACAUGUAUCUAAUUGCCAAUACAAUAUAAAUUCCAUGUAAUUAUAAACUUGACUUUUUAUUCAAAAAUCAAGAAACUUAUGGUAUGUCCUUAUUUGAGAAUUAAAAUAUCUUAUAGUGUUUGUUAAAAGAUGAGAUUGUUAUUUAAAUAUAUAUAAUUUUAUUUUAAAUAUGUUAACCCAUCCCUAUUCCUUCUUUCCCCCUUGGCCAGUAAGAUUUAUUAGACUGAAUAGUGUAAUCUGGGUAUAUAAAUGCAAUGACAUGAUAAAUUUAUGAACUAAGAAACCAUCAAUCAUAAAUAGUUGGUGCAAUUAUUUGUUGUAAUGUUUCAGCUUUUUUGCCCUUGUGCUGUUAGACUUUUCCUGUGUAACUAUAACUUCAAUUUCUUGUGCACCUAGGUGACUGCCAUAAUUAAAAAUUUGCUGCAAUACAUACUUUCUAAGCUAGCAUUAUGCUUCUGUUUCAGUUUCCAUAUAGGCUUAAGCAAGACUUAUGAAGGUUGUGCCUUUUUCUAUAUAUUCACAUCAUUGCCUAAUACAAAUUCCAACCCUUUCACUAAUGUAUAAUUUCUAUAAUUUUUUCUUCUUAUUAGGCUGCCAUGCCCAGAUUGAGUAGCAUUUGAAAAGGAAGUAGUUUACAGAAGAAAAUAUGUAAUAUGCAGAAUUACACAACCAUCAUAACAUGCUGAAUUACGACCCUUAGAAAACCCAAGAAUGGAACGACUAGCAACGUACGCAUUGCGUGCCUAUUUUUUGAGUGGUAAAAUUAUUAAUUCCCCAAAUUCCUGUGAAGAGGCAAGCAAAUUUGAUUACAUAAUCAAAUUACCUUAUGUAUGUUUCAAUCGACUAAAAAACGUUCAGAACUGACCAUUUGAAGACCAUGUUUAUAUUAGGUUCUUACAGAAUACAUCAGAAAGUAGGGAAGAAUCUUGUGGUCGCUCAGAACGGAGGAAAAUGCACUUUUACUUUAAUCAUAUUAGCCUCAUUGGGCUUCGUUUACCAAACGUAAACAGAAGUAAGAGAACGUAUUUUACUUACUGUGGUUAGAAAAUCGCGACUUGGUUAAGUGACUGUAAAAUUCGUUGAUCCUUUGGGACAGUAGUUGAAAAGUUAAGAACGUGUAAUUGUAUCAAAGCAGGUUUUUAGAACGUCACACGAAGGACUCUAACUCACUCAUACCCUUGCUGUGAUUCUAGUUCAUUGACGCGUCAAUACAGCUUUUGAAUAUUCAUAAUUCACUGCAUAAUUCAGGUCAGCGGUCAUUACUGUGAACUUUCAAUUUGCGCUGUUCCGCAUUCUAUUUCCAAAUUUAAUUAAAUAUUUAAAUUGCGUUUAUACGCGAAUCAGAA